UGUUAAGAUAUUAUUAGAUAAUUAAGCUUCUUUGUGUACUCUUCAGUCUUCUACUUAUUUACUGAGACAUCUGAGAGCUUAUGACUCCAGGAUAUUGGAGGUUUGGUUAUGGAUUUGUCUAGAGGAAACUGAUGUUAGGGGAUUGGAUUAAGAUCAAAUAAUUUAGUUAAUCAACAUAAGGUGCAGUUAAUGAAAAUGAAAAUGAAAAUGACAAACCUUUAAUUGGUCUGGGGCCUAACAAACCAGCUGAAGUAACUUUAAUUUUAGAUAAUUGAGCCUAGAAACAAUGUUGCGAGCGUUCUUCAAUUGAAAUACGUAAAGUAGUUAAAGCUUGGAACACAUAGAUAAGUUGCAUGUUGCCGUCUGGCCACUCUGGGUUUCAGUCGAAUAUAGCCAAGCGAAUAGAACGAAUAAUCUCCUUCAUAUGGUUAACACGGGACCAAAAGCAUUGAGGCAAGUUCCUACUUUUGCCAGAAAUACUUUGGACCAGCUAACUCCACGAAGUUCAGCGGGUUUCUCCUGUUUGAUCCAUCAAAUGGAAACUCUUUCAUCAUUUCAGCAGGUUUGGUUUGAAUGAAGAUGAUAUAGAAGAUAUCUCAAUGGAUGAUGUUUCUUUAGAAUUUGAAAAUCCAAUGUAUAUGUGUGGAAUUGUGAAGAAGACUUUUAUGAUAUUGAUGAAGAAACCACCUUGGUCAAUUCAACUGACCUUUAACAUUUGUACCAGCUCAUCCUUAACUUGAUCCUUCCAAGACUAAAUAAAUGAGAAUGCUGAUCUUUCCGGCAGAACAAUGGAAUAGAAUAAGGAUUUGCUUCUAGAGACAACUGAAGGUUUUGAGCUGGAUCGCAAGCAGCAAAACCUAUAAGUGGAAGCCACUCUCGUGUUAGAUGAAGCAUUGUUCAGGGGUAGAUUUAGAGUUGGAUGCCUGCAUAAUGGUGUUCUCAGACGACAUUUUGGUGUCAGUUGGAGGAUACUGCCAAUUUACAGAAGAAAACUCCGAAAUAUAGAGGCUUGCAACUUCUGUGGUGGAUGUGGAUCUCAAAUCAGAAAUUGAAGAUUGAGACCUGGAAGCUUGAAUAUGUGUAUUGUUUUAUGGAGAAGUUCCUAGAAGGAAGACAGCGGCCUUAUGAUUCAAGUGGGGGUUAUAUCUUCAUAUUCUUGCGUAGUGCAGAAGUGAAAUGAAUACCUCUUUGAAAUUAUUCAUUGUUAAAGCAUAUUUUACUGGCUGGAGACUCCUGAAAAUAACAGCAAUUCAUGUGUAGACUUUAUCCCGCUUAAACGAAUAUUUGGUUGUUAUGGUUGAACUGUUGAUGCAAGGAAAUUAGCAUUACCAAAACAUGAGAUCAACAGGUUUGCUACUUGUCCACAUCCCCCUCUAAAGCUGUAUUACAUUCCUGUCAUGUUUCUAACACUGGACUCCCUUGAAGUACUCUGCCCAAGCUUAUCUUGAUUCUUGACAGAGCUAUUUUGAGCCUUUGUACCCUUUGCAUGAAAACCAUAAUAGUUCCCUUUUGUUAUUUGCUCAACCCUUAAAAGAAUUUUUCUGUAAUCUCAAUCCUUAAACUAUGUAAAAGAAACAAGAAUAAUAAAGAUAAUGAUUAGAAUAAAUAGGAACCUUAGCAUAGAAAUGACAAAUUGUGUUUCUUGUUGAAGAUAGGUGAGUUCAACAAGUGAGGUGGAAAGUUAUUUAUUCCUAAUAUUGCUAGAUGUAUACUAAUAUAUGCCUAGUAACUUCGCCAUUCUGUAACCUAGUCAAAAAUACUUAAUUUUAUUUAUGUCGGGAUUAGAAUGGUUGACUGGGAAUACUAUGUAAUGGAACCUGUUCUUUAUAUAUGUCAUUAAAUAAUUUAAGUUUGAACAUUCUGUCUCACUUAUAUGGUGUGCAAACAUGCCAGUGUCACCUAAAACCUUCUCAUGUUUGAUAGAUGAUAUCAUGUCAGCUUAUAGAUUUUUGUCCAUUGGUUUAUAUUGUGGUAAAGUAUCCCCUAAAUUUGACAUUUGACAAGAUGGUUUGCGUGGAUGCUGGCAAGUUCAUUUAGUGUAACAGGAACUCCAAAGCAGUAAGUUGUAACUCAUGGAUGUUUGAUUCCCUUCACGGUGGUUUAUUCCGAGAUGGCUGAAGAGAUACAAUUUUCUAUGUCUGAUGAUGUUGGAAGUUCAACAAAUGAGGCUUAGCUAGCUGGUGUAGGGGUGUGAUACCAUGUUUCAGUCAGCUAAGCUGCUAUAAUUCCAUCCUGAAGAGGAAAUUCUAGGAUGCAUUUGAAUCUGAUGUCAAUGGCGUAGGUGGAGGUAGAGGGCUUCUGGUUUUGUUACUAGUGGAUUUGGCAAUUG